GCCCUGCUGCUAUCUCUAGCCCUUCACACACAGGCUGGGUUUUUUUUUUCUUUUGGGAGUUUCUGGGAGAUGAGCAGGUCACUGACCACCAUGUGACUGUUAUCCUGAUGGAAGGCUAUAAUCAUACAUAGGAAGAGGCCAGGCAAGUGGUGGCCCGAGUUCCUGGGGCAAGGACAGUGUUCUCCUCCUCAAGGGAGAACGUUGGUCUUGCUUCCUGAAAACCAGAGUCCAGUCCACAGCCACACCUAGGAGGGAGCAGAGUAUCCAAGCUCACCAUCUAAGCAUGUUCCCAUGAGAGGGAGACACUAUGACACCUGUGCUUCGCCUUCGAUGCGUUAAGUGAAAGACGAUCCAGUGAGAGACAAGCGUGUCAGGGUUUUAGAGUCCUGGUGCCGCAGCUGGGACAGCCCAUGGAACCGUUGCAAUCCUCCUGAGGACACAGUCACUCGUGCUCCUGAAGGCUUGUCACCAGCAUUGACAUUUGAGGGACAGACCCCUCUGGAUCUAACAAGAAUGUGUGGCAUGAUGGGAAAUAGAGCUUUGAGGUCAACCUGAACUCACCAGAAUGUUGGUUAGUUACCAGAACCAUACAGAGAACACUGCUCUUGGAUCAGUGGAUGCAGAAACUCACGACCCUGGCAAGUCAAGGUUAUAACUUAAAUUGAUGUGCUUCCUCCAAGCAAGGCUCCAGCUCCUACCAACUCCAUAAACUUCCAAACAGCAGCACCCUAGGCAGACGCCGUGCUUGAACACCUGAUCCUACAGGGAGAGUCUUCCUUUAAACCACCACACGAAAUUGACGAGAAGAUAGGAUCCGGAAUACCUGGACCAUAUUAGGAACUCCUGUGAUGAGCCAAUCUCAAAGCUCUGCAGGUCACAUCAAGUGAGUCUAAGAAAUGCCAACAGACGGAGGUUUAGAAACAGACUACCACAGACAGAGAAGCCAGCAUGGUAACAGCUCUGAAGACACACUCACAACCAUUGCUGAGAAAGCAUCAACUUUAGAGUGAAAUGUCACUUAUACACAAUAGGAUCCACACGAAAUAUAGAAAGAUGUAUAAUGCCAAGCCAUGACUAAGCUGUGGAGAAGGAACCUCCCACUCACUCUCUGAAAGCAGCAGGUGCUUUUCUAUUCACCUCAACAUGCUGAACUCAGGACUUGUCAAGAAUUCCCAUGUGGACUGCUCCAUGAAACAUCCUGGCUCUUCCAUCCCUUUGCGUUCCCCAGUGAGAUGCGGAUGUCUUUCAACAGAUUACCUCCAUGGUUCAGGAUUCGAAGACUGCUUUUCUUCUACUUCACGUUAGACUCAACACAGAAAAGCCCUGAGGAUGCAGCUGUCCUGUUGACUUCAGGAAGAAAAUAAACAACUGACUUGGG